rnacentral:tRNA from 1 species
UGGCUCAGUGGUAGAGCGCUUGCCUUACAUGCCUGAGGCCCUGGGUUCGAUUCCCCAG